AUGAAUAUUCAAGCAUUUCUUUCCAUCACCACCUCUCAUAGCAACCAUGUCUCUGUUUCGCUCCAAAACCACUUGUUUCCUCUCUUCUCUCUGAAGCUCUGCCCUAAGAUACUUGUCGAAGAAUUGAACCUGCCUGUUCAGUUCACCAUUCUGCAAAACGACAUUUGCGGACGGGUUCGCACUAACAGAGUGCAAAGUUGGAGGACUCACGGAGACCAAACACCAGUGGAUGAAGGCAUCGUAAAGGUGAAAGAUGGAAAGCCCUACAAUGAUUUUUGUAUUUCACCAUCGUGGAAAGUUUAAAAAGGAACUGAAUGGAUAUCUAUAUUAUGAGCCGGAUAAUACAUAGGUUGUAAUGUGCAAGGAUUGUAGAAGGUUCCUGGUGUUCCCCUUGACAAAGGGUUGAAGAGGCUAGCCACGGAUGCCGACUAGAUUGUAAUGAAUGCCUCAGCCAAACCAGCUACAGCUGCAUAGCAUUUGUGCCAACUCCAAGUUUCAAGCCUCUAUAAAAGAAAGAUAAAGCCAUUUGAUUAGGAUAAUGUGUUUUGCUCCAUGGUUGUUGUCUAUGUUUUUAUACAGGGCUAUGUAAACAAUGUGGUUGAUUAUCUUUUGUUAUGGAACCUUUGUUUAGAAGGAUUAUGUUAUAUCCCUUUAUUUAGGUCUAUAUAUUAUGUUAUGGAACAUUUGAUUAGGUCUGUUAUGAUAUGGAUGCUUUGGUACC